rnacentral:rRNA from 1 species
GACGAACGCUGGCGGCGUGCUUAACACAUGCCAGUCGAACGGAAAGGCCCCUUUGGGGGUUCUCGAGUGGCGCACGGGUGAGUAACACGUGAGUAACCUGCCCUUGACUUCGGGAUAACUUCAGGAAACUGGGGCUAAUACCGGAUAGGAAUCCUUGCUGCAUGGUGGGGGUUGGAAAGCUUCGGCGGUUUUGGAUGGACUCGCGGCUUAUCAGCUUGUUGGUGGGGUAGUGGCUUACCAAGGCUUUGACGGGUAGCCGGCCUGAGAGGGCGACCGGCCACAUUGGGACUGAGAUACGGCCCAGACUCCUACGGGAGGCAGAAGUGGGGAAUAUUGCACAAUGGGCGGAAGCCUGAUGCAGCAACGCCGCGGGCGGGAUGACGGCCUUCGGGUUGAAAACCGCUUUCAGCAGGGGCGAAGCUUGUGGUGACGGUACCUGCAGAAGAAGCACCGGCUAACUACGUG